CAGUGAUAGCUGGUUCUCCCCGAAAUGCAUUUAGGUGCAGCGUUGCGUGGUUCUUGUUGGAGGUAGAGCACUGGAUGGUCUAGGGGGCUUAUCGGCUUACCGAAAUCAGCCAAACUCCGAAUGCCGGUAAGUGAGAGCGCGGCAGUGAGACUGCGGGGGAUAAGCUCCGUAGUCGAGAGGGAAACAGCCCAGACCACCGGCUAAGGCCCCCAAGCGUGUGCUAAGUGGUAAAGGAUGUGGAGUCGCACAGACAACCAGGAGGUUGGCUUAGAAGCAGCCACCCUUUAAAGAGUGCGUAAUAGCUCACUGGUCAAGUGGUUCCGCGCCGACAAUGUAGCGGGGCUCAAGCACACCGCCGAAGCCGUGGCAUUCACACAGGACCUGCUUUCGAGCCAGGUGUGUGGAUGGGUAGGGGAGCGUCGUGUGGGCAGUGAAGCGGCGGGGUGACCCAGUCGUGGAGCCCACACGAGUGAGAAUGCAGGCAUGAGUAGCGAAAGACGGGUGAGAAACCCGUCCGCCGGAUGACCAAGGGUUCCUGGGGCAGGCUAAUCCGCCCAGGGUAAGUCGGGACCUAAGGCGAGGCCGACAGGCGUAGUCGAUGGACAACGGGUUGAUAUUCCCGUACCCGCUUUGGUUCGCCCAUGACGAGCCCAGGAGUGCUAAGCGCCGCGAGCCUUCGAAGCCUUCGGGUGGAGGAGGGGAGUCGCGCGACCCCUGCUGGUAGUAGUCAAGCGAUGGGAUGACGCAGGAAGGUAGUCCAGCCCAGGCGUUGGUUGUCCUGGGGUAAGGGUGUAGGGCGAGAGAUAGGCAAAUCCGUCUCUCAUGAGCCUGAGACCUGAUGCCGAGCCGUUCGAGGCGAAGUGGAUGAUCCUAUGCUGUCGAGAAAAGUCUCUAGCGAGAACCAUGGCGGCCCGUACCCCAAACCGACUCAGGUGGUCAGGUAGAGAAUACCAAGGCGAUCGAGCGAACUAUGGUUAAGGAACUCGGCAAAAUACCUCCGUAACUUCGGGAGAAGGAGGGCCUCAGAUCGUGUAGCCGCUUGCCGGCGAAGCGGUAGGGGGUCGCAGAGACCAGCGAGAAGCGACUGUUUACUAAAAACACAGCUCCAUGCGAAGUCGCAAGACGAUGUAUAUGGAGUGACGCCUGCCCGGUGCUGGAACGUUAAGGGGACGGGUCAACUCCUUCGGGGGUGAAGCUCAGAACUCAAGCGCCAGUAAACGGCGGUGGUAACUAUAACCAUCCUAAGGUAGCGAAAUUCCUUGUCGGGUAAGUUCCGACCUGCACGAAUGGUGUAACGAUCUGGGCGCUGUCUCAGCCGUGAGCUCGGUGAAAUUGUAGUCUCGGUGAAGAUGCCGAGUACCCGCCACGGGACGGAAAGACCCCGUGCACCUUUACUAUAGGUUGCCAUUGGUGUUGGGUUCAGCAUGUGUAGCAUAGGCGGGAGGCGCUGAGCCGGGGACGCUAGUUCUCGGGGAGCCGACGUUGAAAUACCGCCCUUGCUGUGCCUGAUGCCUAAUCCCAGGAUUCUGGGAGACAGUGGCUGCUGGGUAGUUUGACUGGGGUGGUCGCCUCCAAAAGAGUAUCGGAGGCUUUCAAAGGUCCGCUCAGUCCGCUUGGUAACCGGACGCAGAGCGCAAUAGCAGAAGCGGGCUUGACUGUGAGGCCGACUAGCCGAGCAGGGUCGAAAGACGGAUAUAGUGAUCCGGUGGUUCCGCAUGGAAGGGCCAUCGCUCAAAGGAUAAAAGGUACGCCGGGGAUAACAGGCUGAUCUCCCCCAAGAGCUCAUAUCGACGGGGAGGUUUGGCACCUCGAUGUCGGCUCGUCACGUCCUGGGGCUGGAGAAGGUCCCAAGGGUUCGGCUGUUCGCCGAUUAAAGUGGCACGCGAGCUGGGUUCAGAACGUCGUGAGACAGUUCGGUCC
rnacentral:rRNA from 1 species